rnacentral:rRNA from 2 species
CUUGUUGGUGAGGUAAUGGCCCACCAAGACUAUUACAGGUACGGGCUCUGAGAGGAGUAGCCCGGAGAUGGGUACUGAGACACGGACCCAGGCCCUAUGGGGCGCAGCAGGCGAGAAAACUUUGCAAUGUGCGAAAGCACGACAAGGUUAAUCCGAGUGGUUUCUGCUAAAGGAACCUUUUGUCAGUCCUAGAAACACUGAUGAAUAAGGGGUGGGCAAGUUCUGGUGUCAGCCGCCGCGGUAAAACCAGCACCUCAAGUGGUCAGGAUGAUUAUUGGGCCUAAAGCAUCCGUAGCCGGCUCUGUAAGUUUUCGGUUAAAUCUGUACGCUCAACGUACAGGCUGCCGGGAAUACUGCAAAGCUAGGGAGUGGGAGAGGUAGACGGUACUCGGUAGGAAGGGGUAAAAUCCUUUGAUCUAUUGAUGACCACCUGUGGCGAAGGCGGUCUACCAGAACACGUCCGACGGUGAGGGAUGAAAGCUGGGGGAGCAAACCGGAUUAGAUACCCGGGUAGUCCCAGCUGUAAACCAUGCAAACUCAGUGAUGCAUUGGCUUGUGGCCAAUGCAGUGCUGCAGGGAAGCCGUUAAGUUUGCCGCCUGGGAAGUACGUACGCAAGUAUGAAACUUAAAGGAAUUGGCGGGGGAGCACCACAAGGGGUGAAGCCUGCGGUUCAAUUGGAGUCAACGCCGGA